CCCCGAACACGGAAAAAAAAGGCGCAGUGGGGGUUCUGCUGUGUUUGCAAGUGAGGGUCGUGAGUGCAACGGGCGCAAGGCAUUAAGGCCAGUGUGUUAGUGCGCGGGCAGGCUCGCGUGGUGCUGGGGUUGCUGUGUGAGCGGCCCUCGUGGCUCGGGAGGUGCUGUGUUUGCGCAGGCGUGCGCCCCUGGCGUCGGGACUGGGACUCCGGAUUUCUGUGGCGACUGAGGCGCUCUUACCUUUGCGUCCUGAUCUCCAAGCAAGCACACUGACCUUCUUCAGGCAAAUACGCACUGUUAAUUUUCCAGAAAGUUCUGUGAGUAAGGUUUAUACCUCUCGAGUCUGCCACUAGAUGCCGCCAAAUCCCAGCAAAGGAUUGGCUGUUUGGUCCCUGGGAUUCUGGGAUUUUGUUUCCCUCCCCCCUCCCCUUUCUGAUUUGCUGAACGGUAAUAUCUAUAGGCAUCAUGGAUAUCGUUCAUUCCUAGGAAAAAAUAAAAUCAACUUCUGUAAAUAGCACUAGUAGGCAGGGGACUGUGACCCAAGAUCCAAAUAAUUUUGCUCAUUUCUUUCCUUUUCUCCUUGGGUUAAAAAAAAAAAAAGGCCCCUCUCCAUCCCUCUUUUCUUUUGUCCUUGCCUUGUUUAAUCAAAGAGUUAAUGAAUGACGCAAGCACUGAUGCUGAAGAUCCUAACCCUUUUUCCUCACCUUUUCAAAUGCUCGCAACUCACCCAAACUGAAAAUACAGAUAGCUGUUCCGUCAGUAAAGAUAGAUAAGAACUCAUCAGUAAAACCUGGACCCUGGUAUUGAAAACUGAUUUUCCUUUUCUCUUGAAAUUUGUAUCAGAUAUGUGUUUUUGCACCCUAUUUUCUGUAGUGGUAUUGGUAAACUUUAUUGUGUCUUUGGAGUAAGAGAAAGAGACCUAAUUGUAAACCUCAUUCCACCACUUACUAGUCUCAGUACCCUGGGCAAAUGAUUUAUGUUUUGUGAUCCUCAGUUUUUUUGUAUGCUUUCUAUAUUUUAGAUGCUGUGUUAUAUCGUUCACGUUGAUUUUUUUAUUCAUCACCAAGUCCUUAUUAGAUGAGCACUACUGGAUCAAAGUCAAACAACAAAAAUCAUACCCCUUUCAAUUAUCUAUCUUAUAUACUUGUACACCACACAGGAGGGAUUUUUUUAGAGCAGUGGUUCCCAAGGUGUGUUUCCUGGAUGUACCAGAAACAUCAGCGUCACCUGAAAAGUUGUCAGAAAUUCGGAUUCUCAGGUCCCACCUCAAACUUAAUGAAUCAGAAGUUCGCAGGGUGGGGUUUAGUAAUCUGUGUUAUUACAAACUAUCCCAGUGAUUCCAGCACACACUGAAGUUUGAGAGCCACUGCUUUGGAGAGUAGAAAUGCAAUGCAUAUUUUUGUACACACCACUAGAGGGUGCUACAGAAUGUAAAGCAAAAUAAUAAAUGAUGCACAGUAUAUGUUUUCAGACACCCUCUAUAUUAUCAGUCCUAUUUUACAGAUUAAAAACUAAUGUGUAGAUAUGUCAAAUUAUUUUCUUAGUGUACGCAACAAGUAUGGGAACCAGGAUUUGAACUUCACCUGCCUCUAGCCCAAGCCCCUAAUAGUACUCUGUUGUUUAACCAUGAUGACUUGUCUUUCCAAGCCUCAAAAUACAUUAGAAAUAUCUUGUUCCCUGCUUUGGCUAAUGUUGACUGGAGUGUCAAGAAGAGUGCAGGAAAGCAAACCAAGCUGUUGCAACCUCACCAGAACAGCUGAAGAAUGAAUUUCAGCCUGGACUCUACCUUAUUAGUUGGGCACCCUUGGGGAGGGUGCAACCUGCCCAACAUUUUCUGCUGGCCCUGUCUUACCUCAUGACUAAGAGAGCCUUCCUAGGUCUGGAAGGUAGCAGUCAGUCUGUUCUGGAGGGUGGAGAGAGACACCAGUGUUUUCCCAUGGUUUCUGGGUAGUAGAUAAAAUUGGUCUAUUCUAAGGUUAAUUUGAUAUUUUAAAAUUUUGAUUCUGACUAGCUUAUUGGAUUUUUUUGAAUAAUGUUUGAUUAAUGUAAAGGUUAAAAAUAAAACCUAAUAUUUCAGCUAAGCAAAUGGUAUUUCUUUAAUAAGGACGUAUUUCUAUCUAUUUAUACCUGCCUCAUUCCAUAGGAAUUUUAUAAAGCCAGUCCAGGAAUGUAGUCUGAAUCAAUCUAGUUUGCUAGCCUGUGAGACCAGGGCAAAGAUGAAAAUAGUCAUGGGAAAGUUUUAUCCUUUUAGGGGUAUCUGUCUUCUUCUAGUUCCUCUCUCCUCCUUUGACAAAUCCCCACCCCGAGACUGACCUACCCAUUUGACAGAAUGAGAUUACUUCUUCAAAUGACCCAAAACACUGAGAUCCUGAACCUAAUCAAUAAUGUCCUUGGAUGACCUUGGGAUGCCAGAUUCACACAUAAUUCCUUGUUGUCCCCUUCCUGAGUUAAUAGUUUAGCAUACAAUUUACCAAAAUUUGUAGUUUCCUGAGCCACAGACUUCACUUGGAAUGAUCAUAUAAAGUCAUCCAUGCUACAUACCAACCCACAGAAAUGAGGACCGCUUUCCUCCAGUGUAUGCUGAGUCCUACAAUCUGAGCACUGCUUCAAGAGGAUGCCUUGAGUCAUUUUUCCAGAGUUAAAUUUGCUUAUGCUUCUAACCUCCACCUACAGUCCCCGUUACACUGGGAAUGAUAAAAACUAUGCCUUUUGAAAAUAUAAGCUGUCAUGUUAUUAAAGAUGACAAACCAGUAGUAGUUAAAGUGCUGCAUCUAAAUUGUUGAAGCUUGUUACGUGGGAGUUCAUUAGACUGUUUUUCCUACUUUUGUGUAUUUUUGAAGUUUUCCAUAAUAAAACAUUUAAAAAGACAAAAAA